UCACUGCGUGUUGAAUACGGACUCGACCCUCUUUCCAAGUUUCAUCCUGUGCACAUUACAGGCCCAUAGAAAACCGUUUCCGUUGAGUUUUUCUGUGGUGUCCCCCUUCCCCGCUGAUUCAAGGCCUACUGUGAAGGGGAUGUUCCCAUAGGAGGGGAUCAAAGGGAAUUCAGACCUGUUCUUCAGGAAGGUUAUCUUAGCACCUGUGUGAAGAAUGUAUUGAAGAGGGGAGAGACAAAUCAGGGAGUGACUGUUAAAAUAAUUUAGGUCUCUGAGAUGAUUUCAGUGAAGCCCAGACAAACCAUCACCCAGCCUAGUGGAGAGGAGUUUCUAUGAAGAUGACUUCAGUGCCCCAGGACUUCAUUAUGGAUAACUUAUCUGUUAAAAGAGGCACUUUAGAAAUGCUAGUAAAACUGAAUUGAAAUAAAUGUUAGACAGUGAUUUAGGGUUGCUUACUGUUUAUAAAUGUGACCUGCAAAUGAAAGACCCAGCAGCUGAAUGUGAAUGUGAUAUCUGUAAGAGCUCCAAACUUCACACCUAUGUGAACCAAGUCUCACACCAGCCUUUUGCAGACCACACAUGUUCCAACCAACAGAAAAAGCAAUAUUUAUGUAUGUGGGUGAAACAGGGGACAUAUGAUUUUUUUAAUUUUGUUUUUUUUAAAUAAAGCAUUAUAUCUUUAAUAAAAUGUUCUUCAAGUACAAAAUUACCUUUAUGGUUGUAUGUAAACCAUUGGUAACCUUCAUAUU